GAUGAACUUGGAUCUUUUAUGAG
rnacentral:snRNA from 1 species